UACGUAGGGGGCAAGCGUUGUCCGGAUUUAUUGGGCGUAAAGCGCGUGUAGGCGGCCAGGUAGGUCCGCUGUGAAAACCCGAGGCUCAACCUCGGGACGUCGGCGGAAACCAUCUGGCUAGAGUCCGGAAGAGGAGAGUGGAAUUCCCGGUGUAGCGGUGAAAUGCGCAGAUAUCAGGAAGAACACCCGUGGCUAAGGCGGCUCUCUAGUACGGUACUGACGCUGAGACGCGAAAGCGUGGGGAGCGAACAGG
rnacentral:rRNA from 1 species